AUUGAACGCUGGCGGCAUGCCUUACACAUGCAAGUCGAACGGUAACAGGUCUUCGGAUGCUGACGAGUGGCGAACGGGUGAGUAAUACAUCGGAACGUGCCCGAGAGUGGGGGAUAACGAGGCGAAAGCUUUGCUAAUACCACAUACGAUCUCAGGAUGAAAGCAGGGGACCGCAAGGCCUUGCGCUCACGGAGCGGCCGAUGGCAGAUUAGGUAGUUGGUGGGAUAAAAGCUUACCAAGCCGACGAUCUGUAGCUGGUCUGAGAGGACGACCAGCCACACUGGGACUGAGACACGGCCCAGACUCCUACGGGAGGCAGCAGUGGGGAAUUUUGGACAAUGGGCGCAAGCCUGAUCCAGCCAUGCCGCGUGCAGGAUGAAGGCCUUCGGGUUGUAAACUGCUUUUGUACGGAACGAAAAGACUCCUUCUAAUAAAGGGGGUCCAUGACGGUACCGUAAGAAUAAGCACCGGCUAACUACGUGCCAGCCGCCGCCGUAAUAC
rnacentral:rRNA from 1 species